rnacentral:sRNA from 1 species
GCCACGCCUAGCCUUCGGCUGAUCCCCGAUGGUGAAAACCGGGUUUCCCUGACCCGGCGGCGCUGGCUUCUUCUCGGGGG